GCAUAUCAAUAAGCGGAGGAAAAGAAACCAACAGGGAUUGCCCUAGUAACGGCGAGUGAAGCGGCAACAGCUCAAAUUUGAAAUCUGGCUCUUUUAGAGUCCGAGUUGUAAUUUGCAGAGGGCGCUUUGGCUUUGGCAGCGGUCCAAGUUCCUUGGAACAGGACGUCACAGAGGGUGAGAAUCCCGUACGUGGUCGCUGGCUAUUGCCGUGUAAAGCCCCUUCGACGAGUCGAGUUGUUUGGGAAUGCAGCUCUAAAUGGGAGGUACAUUUCUUCUAAAGCUAAAUAUUGGCCAGAGACCGAUAGCGCACAAGUAGAGUGAUCGAAAGAUGAAAAGCACUUUGGAAAGAGAGUCAAACAGCACGUGAAAUUGUUGAAAGGGAAGCGCUUGCAGCCAGACUUGCUUACAGUUGCUCAUCCGGGUUUCUACCCGGUGCACUCUUCUGUAGGCAGGCCAGCAUCAGUUUGGGCGGUAGGAUAAAGGUCUCUGUCACGUACCUCCUUUCGGGGAGGCCUUAUAGGGGAGACGACAUACUACCAGCCUGGACUGAGGUCCGCGCAUCUGCUAGGAUGCUGGCGUAAUGGCUGUAAGCGGCCCGUCUUGAAACACGGACCAAGGAGUCUAACAUCUAUGCGAGUGUUUGGGUGUCAAGCCCGAGCGCGUAAUGAAAGUGAACGGAGGUGGGAACCCGCAAGGGUGCACCAUCGACCGAUCCUGAUGUCUUCGGAAGGAUUUGAGUAAGAGCAUGGCUGUUGGGACCCGAAAGAUGGUGAACUAUGCUUGAAUAGGGUGAAGCCAGAGGAAACUCUGGUGGAGGCUCGCAGCGGUUCUGACGUGCAAAUCGAUCGUCAAAUUUGGGCAUAGGGGCGAAAGACUAAUCGAACUAUCUAGUAGCUGGUUCCUGC
rnacentral:rRNA from 1 species